rnacentral:rRNA from 1 species
UACGUAGGGUGCGAGCGUUGUCCGGAAUUACUGGGCGUAAAGAGCUCGUAGGUGGUUUGUCGCGUUGUCCGUGAAAACUCACAACUCAAUUGUGGGCGUGCGGGCGAUACGGGCAGACUGGAGUACUGCAGGGGAGACUGGAAUUCCUGGUGUAGCGGUGGAAUGCGCAGAUAUCAGGAGGAACACCGGUGGCGAAGGCGGGUCUCUGGGCAGUAACUGACGCUGAGAAGCGAAAGCAUGGGGAGCGAACAGG